rnacentral:rRNA from 1 species
GACAGAGGGUGCAAACGUUGUUCGGAAUUACUGGGCAUAAAGCGCACGUAGGCGGUCCGCUAAGUCGUGUGUGAAAUCCCCCGGCUCAACCGGGGAAUUGCGCGCGAUACUGGCGGGCUAGAGAUCGGGAGGGGUGAGUGGAACUCCAGGUGGAGCGGUGAAAUGCGUAGAUAUCUGGAGGAACACCGGUGGCGAAAGCGGCUCACUGGCCCGACACUGACGCUGAGGUGCGAAAGCUAGGGUAGCAAAC